rnacentral:rRNA from 1 species
CCUACGGGAGGCAGCAGUGGGGGAUAUUGCACAAUGGGGGAAACCCUGAUGCAGCGACGCCGCGUGUGGGAAGACGGUCCUCUGGAUUGUAAACCACUGUCCCCAGGGACGAAGAUGACGGUACCUGGGGAGGAAGCUCCGGCUAACUACGUGCCAGCAGCCGCGGUAAUACGUAGGGAGCGAGCGUUGUCCGGAAUUACUGGGUGAAAAGGGAGCGUAGGCGGGACUGCAAGUUGGGUGUCAAAUCUACCGGCUCAACCGGUAGCCGCACUCAAAACUGAAGUUCUUGAGUGAAGUAGAGGCAGGCGGAAUUCCUAGUGUAGCGGUGAAAUGCGUAGAUAUUAGGAGGAACACCAGUGGCGAAGGCGGCCUGCUGGGCUUUUACUGACGCUGAGGCUCGAAAGUGUGGGGAGCAAACAGGAUUAGAUACCCGAGUAGUC